CUACCAUGUGUAACAUACCAUCUCCUUCAUUUGAUGCUUCGGGACUUAAGGGAGGUGCGAAGAGAGCAGUAACCUGAGCUGUGUGAUCUCAGAACAGAAAAGCUUGCCCUGGAAGCUCUGUUUAGUCCUUAAGAGAAAAAGUGGACAUAAGCAGCUGCCUGCUUUGACUGCAAACAGUUGAGGAACUGUCAGGUUUUGAAGGGGAGUUGGAAGGGUAGCUUUCUGGUUUCAUUUUUUCGGCUCCAUAAUGCUUCUGAGGAAAAAAGUACGACCAACUUCUGCCUCAGGGAAAUUAGAGACAUCUUNAGGCAGCAGCCUUCUGAAUGAGCUAAGAGGAUCGGCGGCGACAGCAGAGCCUCUGUUACGACGAGUUCAGACUUCCACCGGAGGCCUCAGGUUGCAAGCUGCAUCUCCGGUUUCCAUUGGCCACUUCUCCGAAGCUCAGCAGGAGGUACCACAGCUUCCAGAAUGGCUGCUGAAGGAGCUGCUGAAAGGGCAACAGAGGAGUCAUUCCAUUGGCCUCAUGGAAAACAUAUUGGAGAGUGAAAAUGUCCAGCUCCGUGCAAACCCUUCUAGAAGUCAGUGGAAAGGGAAGAUUGAGCAGCAAAUAACUCUUGAACAGCUUCAGAACCUACAUGCAGCCUUUCAGGUAAGAACACCUCAAUGA
rnacentral:lncRNA from 1 species